GGCGAGUUGGCGGAGUGGUUACGCAGCGGACUGCAAAUCCGUGUACACCGGUUCAAAUCCGGUACUCGCCUCCA
rnacentral:tRNA from 1 species